GACGAACGCUGGCGGCGUGCUUAACACAUGCAAGUCGAACGGAAAGGCCCUGCUUUUGUGGGGUGCUCGAGUGGCGAACGGGUGAGUAACACGUGAGUAACCUGCCCUUGACUUUGGGAUAACUUCAGGAAACUGGGGCUAAUACCGGAUAGGAGCUCCUGCUGCAUGGUGGGGGUUGGAAAGUUUCGGCGGCUGGGGAUGGACUCGCGGCUUAUCAGCUUGUUGGUGGGGUAGUGGCUUACCAAGGCUUUGACGGGUAGCCGGCCUGAGAGGGUGACCGGCCACAAUGGGAAUGAGGAACGGCCCAGAGUCCUAAGGGAGGGAGGAGGGGGGAAUAUUGCACAAUGGGCGGAAGCCUGAUGCAGCAACGCCGCGUGCGGGAUGACGGCCUUCGGGUUGUAAACCGCUUUCGCCUGUGACGAAGCGUGAGUGACGGUAAUGGGUAAAGAAGCACCGGCUAACUACGUG
rnacentral:rRNA from 1 species